GCUUGCCGGCCUGGCGGUCCUACUCAACACCGCAAGAUUUCAAAAGGGAAAUUCCUCCAGGGCUGAGUCACAGGGAAGAAAGCGAUUUCCUCCGCCUCUUCCAAAGCGGCCCCUUUGGUGCCAGUCUGCUGGAGUUUGCUGGAGGUCCACUCCUGACCCUGUUUGCCUGGGUAUCACCAGCAGAGGCUGCAAAGCAGCAAAGAUUGCUGCCUGUUCUUUCUUCUAGAAGCUUCGACCCAGUGGGGCACCUGUCAGAUGCCAGCCAGAGCUCUCCUGUAUCAGGUGUCUGUCGGUCCAAGCUAGAAGGAUUUUAUAACCUGACAGCGUGCUGGAACUUCUCUGCUGGACUCCUGGACUCCCACAAUGGUUGUGGGGCUAGACAAGAAGGAAAAAAAUCACUGUCCUCAUGGAAGUUAAAUUGUACUGACAAAGGAGGAAAAUGUCAGGGAGUUAACAAUUCAGUCUCUGUGGCUUCCUCCUGUCCUCUCCCUGAAACUGAGAUCCAGCCAAUCUGCACAUUUAUUCUGAGAGUGGCCCCACUUUAAUGACUACACCCAGCUGUCUACACACCAGGAGGGGAGGGAACUGUAUCCUGAGGCACCAACCCGAUUACCCACCCAACAGCCACAGGGACUUCCAGUGACUGGGGCAUCAUCCUCAAUGCCACCAACCCCUCUCCUUCCUGUGGCUUUUCUAACUGGAACUGGAACUCAGAAAGUACAUUAAUCACCAAUUUGGGAAGCUAUAGGAAAGUAUGUUUUCUAAUAUACAGUGAGAGAAUGUGACUGAUAAAACCAAUUUUCUUGAGACUUUCUCCCUGGAAAGUGAAUAUAUGUAUUCAUAGGGCCUUCACAAGCACAGACUAACAAGCAAAGAGCUACAUUCACUGGGAAGGAAGACUCAAAAGUAAGUGAAAAAUAAUAGUUAACCUUUAGAUGUUGUGCAAUAAAUUAUUUUUAAUUACAUUAAAUCAAAAUAGUGUUAAAAUAUUUUCAGGUAAACCUAGUAUAUUUACUAAUAAAUUUAAGUCUUCAUAAAUAUAAAGAUAGAUCAAUGUAAAUGUAAAAAUCAUUUGUUAAACUCCAGAGAUUAUAUAAACAAAAGGUGAACCUAAUGUAAAACUGUGGACUUUAGUUGAAAAUAAUGUGUCACUAUUCUUUCAUGGGUUGUAACAAAUGUGCCACACUAAUGUAAGAUGUUAAUAAUAGCAGAAAUAGGGGGGAGAGAGGAGGGAUCUAGGAGCUCUCUGGAUUUUCCAUUUUAUUUUGUUAUAAAUCUAAAACUGUUCUUAAAAAUAAUGUCUGUUAAUUUUUUUUUUAAAAAGGAAAGAAGCACUGAUACAUGCUAUGACAUGGAAGAACUCUAAAAAUAUUAGGCUAAGGGAAAGAAGCCACAUACACAUACACAUACACAGAUAGUUUAUGGUUCCAUUUAUAUAAAAUAUUCAGAAUAGAAAAGUUCAUAGGGACAGAAAGUAGAUUACCUGGGGAGUAGGGGGUGAAAAAUGGGUAGUAACUGCUUAAUGGGUAUGAAGUUUCGUUUAGGGCGAUGAAAAUAUUCUGGAACUAGAAAGUGAUGAUGAUGGUCACACAGCAAUGUCACAUAUACAAUACCACAGAACUGUACACUUUAAAAUGGUUAAAGGGUUUUAUUUUAUGUUAUGUAUUUUACCACAAUUGAAAAAAAUGUUUAUUAAAAUUAAUGUGUAAACAUUUGUGGAAGAAUAAUGUGUAGUUUCUAACAUUUAUGUGUUUAAAUUUAUGAGUUUAAAAAUAGAAAAAAAAAUGAUGGCCCAGAAGAGCAAGUUCAGAGUGCUGUUCAUGAGUGAUCCGCAUGGGACCGCGAUGCCUCUGACGUCUGCCAUCCUGGAGAGCAGCAGAGCGUCACUAGCAGGUCCUCGUCUUCUCACUUCAUAACAUUCUUUCCAAAAGUCUUGUUGACAUUCUUCUGUCUUCCACAUAUAGUUUAUCUUCUUGAACUCAUUAUAACUUUAAAAUAUUUUUACUGUGUUACAUGUACUGCUUAUAUUUGUUUAUUUUAUAAUUAUUAAUUUUAAAUUGUGCACUUUAUUUUGCUCUA
rnacentral:lncRNA from 1 species